rnacentral:rRNA from 1 species
AUGCUCAGCCUCCACGGCUGCUACGGCGGCGGCAGGGCGCUGAGCCUCGCCAAGGAGCUGGCCGAGAACAACCGCGGCGCGCGCGUCCUCGUCGCCUGCUCCGAGAUGACGCUCGUCUGCUUCGGAGCGCCCGACGGCGGCAACAUCGUCGGCCACGCGCUGUUCGGGGACGGAGCGGGCGCCGUCGUCGUCGGGGCCGGCCCCUUCCUAAACGGCGAGCAGGGCCCGAUCUUCGAGAUGGUGUCCGCCACGCAGACCACAAUUCCCAGGACGGAGCACGCGCUGGGCAUGCGGGUCUCCGGGGGCGGCAUCGACUUCCACCUGGCAAUCCAGGUGCCGACGCUCGUCGGGCAGAGCGUCGAGCCGUGCCUCCUCGACGCGUUCCGUGGCAUCAUUGUGGACGACGACGAUGCUCCACCUCCAUGCUCUGGGAAUGGGAAUGGGAACGGGAGGUGGAACGACCUCUUCUGGGCGGUGCACCCAGGAGGGCGUCCGAUCCUGGACAAUAUAGACAAGGUGCUGAUGCUGGAGCCGGAGAAGCUGGCGGCCAGCCGGCAUGUGCUCCGCGAGUACGGCAACAUGAGCGGCGCCACGAUCGUGUUCGUGCUUGACGAGCUGCGCCGCGGCCGGAGCCCGCUGCCGGAGUGGGGUGCGCUGCUGGCCUUCGGACCGGGAAUCACGAUCGAGGCCAUGGUGCUCCGCUGUCCACGCUAG